GCCCCUGUAGCUCAGUCGGUAGAGCACAUCCAUGGUAAGGAUGGGGUCAUCGGUUCAAAUCCGAUCGGGGGCU
rnacentral:tRNA from 1 species